rnacentral:rRNA from 1 species
UACGUAGGUGGCAAGCGUUGUCCGGAUAUAUUGGGUUUAAAGGGUGCGUAGGCGGCGAUCUAAGUCAGUGCUGAAAUAUCCCGGCUUAACCGGGAGGGUGGCAUUGAUACUGGGUUGCUUGAGUAAAGUUGAGGUAGGCGGAAUUGACGGUGUAGCGGUGAAAUGCUUAGAUAUCGUCAAGAACACCAAUAGUGAAGACAGCUUACUAAACUUUAACUGACGCUGAGGCACGAAAGUGUGGGGAUCAAACAGG